rnacentral:rRNA from 1 species
UACAGAGGUGGCAAGCGUUGUUCGGAAUUACUGGGCGUAAAGGGCGCGUAGGCGGUUCGCUAAGUCCUGUGUGAAAUCCCCCGGCUCAACUGGGGAACUGCACAGGAAACUAGCGGGCUUGAGUUCGGGAGAGGGAAGCGGAAUUCCGGGUGUAGCGGUGAAAUGCGUAGAUAUCCGGAGGAACACCGGUGGCGAAGGCGGCUUCCUGGACCGACACUGACGCUGAGGCGCGAAAGCUAGGGGAGCAAACGGG